CAAUGGGCAAACAUCACCCGCAACGUGGCUCUGAGCACUUGAAAAUCAGGCCCUCGUGUCCUUGGACUGAGGACAGACUGUACAGUAAGCCGGACCUGAUUCAGCAGAAACUCUCACAACGUCUCACCGCUGGUCCCUGCAGUCCGGGGAGGCCCGGGACCCCCAUGUCGCCCUGCAUGCCGCGUGGUCCCGGCUGGCCCGGCUUGCCCUCUUUCCCGGACUGUCCUCGGCUCCCGUCAGGUCCCUUAUUUCCCGUCUCUCCUGGUGGACCUGUCUGCAAGCAACGACGGCAGGUGGACACAGGGUGACAAAAUACACCUGACACCUGACGCAGUUCCCAGCAGGACUCCAACCAAAUUCAGGAGAUAAAGAAGUGAGAAGAAAAAGCACCUAUGUCUCACCUGAGCCGAGCAAAUCAGCACGAUUUGCAGUAAAAGCACCAGCAAAGACUCCCGACAGAUCCUGGACAGAGCCAUGGUCUUCCCAGGUCCGAGGAAGACGCUAAUAGUCCCUUUUUCCCAGAUUAGAGACGGGGCUCACGGACGGUCCACCUGUCAGUCUCCCCCCCGACUAAAGCCCCACCGCCUGCUGGAAGGGGAGGAUGUUAGAAAGUCCUGAUUAUUCAUGAGAAGUUGAGGCUCUGCAGGCUGACUAGAGGAGGAGGAGGAGGAGGAGGAGGAGGCCUUCUCUGCAUAAACAGUGUGGGUGUACUCACCUUUACUCUGAAAUGAAAUGAACUUUAAAUCCAAAGAUACAGUGGAAAUUUACCAUGACAAAAAAAAUGAUAUUGUUCUUUUCCUUCAGAAAAUACUGCUGACCUCUGUUUUUGUAUGUUUAUGCAUUUUUUUUUCUUUUAAAAGGGAGUUAAAAGAGAAAAAGGAGCUGAGGAUUUGAAAUGAUUGAUGAUGAGUGAAGGAAUAAAGCAGAAAA